UAGCCUUAGUCCGAAAAAAAAACAAACCCAAUCCAGUCCAAAUAAAAUUAACAACAAAUAGCAAAAGAAAAAAAUAAAUGAACAGUGCACUUUCUAAAAAAUAUCUAUGGAUAGAAAAGGAAAGUAAAGUUUUUCCUCACUGCAUCGUAUUCAUCGAAUUCUCCGAGAAGGUUUCGGCGGUCGACGACAAACAGGGAUGGCAUGGAUAAUGAUAGCUCAAGCUAAAUCAGACGUUAACACCAUUAAUUUGGAUGGAAGCAAGCUUGAGAAAGACGUCACAAAGGGCGCUUUAAAUUCUCACAAGCACCAUGAAUCUAUCUCGUUGUUUCCUUUUCAUUUUCUUGAGAUGUCGGUAUCAUGGUUGUUACGGGAUAAGAAUUGGUUAUCAGUUACUCAAUGGAGACACUAAAUUCACCAGCAAAUAAGACCUUUCCCAGAGCCAGCCAACUAACUGUGAUGAGGUUUCUAUGCAUCAAAACAUGUUAUUUUCUGAUAGUCUUAAGUCUUUGUUCAUCCCAAACUCCGGCAUGUUGGUGCAAAGAUGUCUGUGUUUGGAAGAAUUGUGCUCUAUGUGGUGCAUCUCGAGGACAAGUUUGAUCUAUGGCAUAGAUUACCGGUAUUACUAGGGAUGGCUUACCUAGGACUAAGAAGACACUUGAACCCGAAAUAAUGACAAGAAAUAUGACACAAAAUAGUUUACCUAUUGGACUUCUGAUGGUACGUGUAAUCAUCUCGUGGAUCAUCUAGUGGGCAGUCAAGGAACCUUCUUUGGCCGUAACAUGCCACCAACAACUUCAAGUUAUGGGGCAAGCUAACAUGCAAUCAACUAUGCCUUGCUAAUUAAACUUGGAAAAUUCUCCAACUUUCUAUUCUUGUCAAAGUUCUCUUUGAUAAUAUCAACUUUCAUUUAUUGAUACCAGGUGUUUCAAUUUUUUGUUCCGUAGGUUAGGGAUUGCGAAUUAGUCUAUUGAAUUUAUUUCAAUGAUUUAUGCUAGUUUUAUUUUUGGAUAUUUAGUUAGUAUGGUAUAAUUUUAGAUAGUCAUAUCACUAUCUGAAAUCUAUAGCUUGAGAUCUCUCAAUCACUUGUGAUAAUAUCAUUUGAUUAUGCAGCUGUUGGAACCUCACCCUCUAACAGUGACAACAAAGCUUUUCGAAAGAAGAAAGUACAUGCAUUGCGGGUGCCAAUUCAACAUGAUAGCAUGCACGUGGAUACAAUUUAUGUUCCAUGAUUGGAAUGACCAUAUGGAGGACACUGAACAGGUACCUAGUUCUUUCAUAAAUAAAGGCAUGAUGAAAUUCAUCACCUGUUGCAAUAACAUGUAAAUGUUGCUGGGAGGCCAUUUGUUGUUUUCUAACUUGUCAAAGUUAGUAUUUACUUUGCUAUAUGAGGAUAUUAUUUUGGAUGAUAGUUAAGGAAAGUUUGUUAAGGUUGAAGGUAAGACAUCACUGUUUUCAUUUUCCAUUUAUGAAAUGGGGAAGAUUUAAAGGUCAAUGUCGGAUAUACAGAUUCGUCCUAUUAAAGGUGUGUUUUUAUGUUUCUCUAACACAAGUUUUCUGACAGGUGGAGCUUAGAGCUCCUCAAGAUAUUGUAACAGGAUAUCCGUUCAAGUCAUUUAAGUUCCUUAAGACCAAAAAACUUCCCACAGGUUCAUCUCAUCUGAAGUUUGGGAAUUUGAAUUCAAGGACCCCAUGGUGAUGAAGGGACUCAAAAACUCUAAUCUCCAUAGAGAGACCUUAAGCUUCUCUCUGAAUAGUUGAGAAUUAUUUUUAAUUUUAUUUACAACAAAGCUGACAGUAAAACAAAAUACCUUACUAGUUUUGAAGAAAGCUAAAAUUUAGGAGGAUGGUUGAAAAUAGUUACUUACUUAACUAAAAAUAUUUAUCAGGUAAUAAAGAGUUUUGGUUAUUACCUUGACUCUUUUGCUCUAUCAAAGUGCUGCUUUGUGGCAUGCUAAAAGAGUUUGAGGUAAUAACCACGAUAGAGAUGGAGAGAUAAUGGGGGCAAAAAUGUUACCUUUGUAAUGUUGUUAGAGUCAUUUGAUAUCUCCUCUGUUGUGUUAGCUGAUUCUUUGUCACUUUUACUUCCCCACUCUUCCUGUCUUCACUUUGUGGGAAUACACUAGGUAUGUUGUUGUUGUAUUUCUUUCUCCAAAAUAUGGCGCACUAUGUUGUCUUGAGUUGUGUACUGAGGCUUUCUUUUCUCUUGAUUAUUCUAUGUCUAUCAGAUAUCUUACAUGCUCUAGCAGAAUAUUAUAAGUUUUUAUUACUUAGCUUUCUUAAAUGACUUGUUCAGUUUUUCAUUCUUCACACAUAUUUAUCUUUGAUUCAAAGUAAGGAUACGUUCGAAUCUAGGCCACAUGGUGUAAUUAGCAACUCAGGUUGUGGCAGCAGAGGAGGUGCAGAACGAUAUGUUGGUCGUGGUGGGUCAGGUUCAGAAGCACGAGCUCCAGAGCAUCAGUAUCAUUCCAGUCUCAGCAGUCAGAGUUAGCAGUAAGUCCUCAUCCUUUGAGGACAUGACCAUUACUUUAUUAUCUCAUUAAUUAAUUUAUUUCUGUAGUUGGAGUUAGUUGGAGACAUAUACCAUCAACUCCUUAUUCGGACAGUUCAGUUCAGUUAGAGGCUUUUCAGACUAUCAUGUUCAGACAGUUUAUUUCAGGUUUUGUUUUGGUGUUGUGAUACCAUAUGAUUCAGAGAUUAUUUUAUCAGUUUUGAACC